rnacentral:rRNA from 1 species
CAGCAGCCGCGGUAAUACGUAGGGGGCAAGCGUUAUCCGGAUUUACUGGGUGUAAAGGGAGCGCAGACGGUAAAGCAAGUCUGAAGUGAAAGCCCGCGGCUCAACUGCGGGACUGCUUUGGAAACUGUUUAACUAGAGUGCUGGAGAGGUAAGCGGAAUUCCUAGUGUAGCGGUGAAAUGCGUAGAUAUUAGGAAGAACAUCAGUGGCGAAGGCGGCUUACUGGACAGUAACUGACGUUCAGGCUUGAAAGCGUGGGGAGCAAACAGGAUUAGAUACCCUGGUAGUCCACGCGGUAAACGAUGAAUACUAGGUGUCGGGGGGCAAAGCCCUUCGGUGCCGCCGCAAACGCAAUAAGUAUUCCACCUGGGGAGUACGUUCGCAAGAAUGAAACUCAAAGAAAUUGACGG